GUGAACAGUCAACAGGGAGAAGAGGAUCCUCAGGCCUUGAGCAUCCAGGAGGGUGAAAAUGCCACCAUGAACUGCAGUUACAAAACUAGUAUAAACAAUUUACAGUGGUAUAGACAAAAUUCAGGUAGAGGCCUUGUCCACCUAAUUUUAAUACGUUCAAAUGAAAGAGAGAAACACAGUGGAAGAUUAAGAGUCACGCUUGACACUUCCAAGAAAAGCAGUUCCUUGUUGAUCACGGCUUCCCGGGCAGCAGACACUGCUUCUUACUUCUGUGCUACGGACGCACAGUCAAAUCAACCUUUGGGGAUGGGACUACGCUCACUGUGAAGCCAAUAUCCAGAACCCUGACCCUGCCGUGUACCAGCUGAGAGACUCUAAAUCCAGUGACAAGUCUGUC
rnacentral:lncRNA from 1 species